GACAGAGGGUGCGACCGUUGUUCGGAAUUACUGGGCGUAAAGCGCGUGUAGGCGGUCUGGAAAGUCGGGUGUGAAAGCCCUGGGCUUAACCUAGGAAGUGCACUCGAAACUCCCAGACUCGAGUCCCGGAGAGGAAGGUGGAAUUCUCGGUGUAGAGGUGAAAUUCGUAGAUAUCGAGAGGAACAUCGGUGGCGAAGGCGGCCUUCUGGACGGUGACUGACGCUGAGACGCGAAAGCGUGGGGAGCAAACAGG
rnacentral:rRNA from 1 species